rnacentral:lncRNA from 1 species
UUAAAAUAAAACUAAAUUUAAGUUAUAAAAAUAAUUAUGCAAAAUAUUAAAACACACCUGAAAAACAAGAUUACAGGGAAAUUGAGAGAAAUUGAGAAGAAGAGAGAUGCCCAAAACAUAAAAAUGAGGCUCUAUUUAUGGAAAAAUACAUUCAUAAUCUAGUGUUUUGUGGUCCAUCAUAAGAUAUAUAUAUAUAUGCGCUCCUCAUAGCUAUUAGAUCAAGAUCCAACGGCUGGUCAAGUUUCAAAAGUCAACAUUACACAUGGCAUCAUGUAAAGCGUCCGAUUUGGUCAAAGAACGAUUGAGAUUUGGUGGGUUAAUAGUUGGAUCAGGUCGACCCGAAUACAAAAGUUCGGAUCCUACAACUUACUUCACCAACCAUUGUCACCUGGCACGAUCGUGGCCAUUCAAUCAUAAAUGGUUGAGAUUUAGUCAAAAUUGACAGCUAUCCAAUGCACUCAUAUAUAUUAUAAGCUCAUUUUAUCAUUUAAUCAGUGUUCGGUCAACAAAAAGUCAACUUUUUGCACAAGUACAAUUUUAAGCUGGUCUUGACUCAUCUUAAGGUUUUCAUACCUCCGGAAUCUAAAUUUGAUAUCCGUUGGAGCCUCGAAUUACGUAAAUUUAAUAUUUUACUUAAUAAACACACAAAAUUAACUAUAGUUAAGACAUAAUUAAUAAUCCCUAAUAUAUUGCAUAAACACAAAUAUAAAUUAUAAUAUAAGCAUAAGAUAAUAUUU